GUUGGGCGUGACUGCUAUAUUUAGUGAUCGAGUCACCGCAAGUGUGGAAGUCGGGGGGCAGUGACGGAGUUGGUGAGCCGCUCGCUUUGUUGAAAAUCAACCUUGUUUGUCGUCGUGGCAAGAAUGGCAACGAGCUUGCGUCGGUUUGUAGUCUUCGUUUAUUGCCUUUAUUGUUUUUAUGCUAAAGUGGAAGGCCAGAGUUGCUUGAAUGAACGAAAUUGUUCCAGCUGUUUGAAAGCUAGUGCUGAAUGUACCUGGUGUGCAGAUCAGGUGUUGCCUGCAACAGCCAGCCGUUGUAACCUUAACAGCAACUUUUCUAAUAACUGGUGCAAAGAGUUUUAUGGACCAAAACAAGAAAAUAUUACUAUUAAGGUGCAGUGUGCUUAUGUAUACUCAUGAAGUGUUGUUUGUUGAUUUAACUGACAUUACUUUUGUGGCCAAAUAAAAUCUAUCUGUUUGUCAAUGGUAGUAUAU